CCCUCCCCCAAACCCAUCUGACCCUCCCCCACCCGGCCACGCCCAUCCCCCACCCGGCCACGCCCAUCCCCCAUACUCACCUGACCCUCCCCCACCCUCACCUGACCAUCCCCCACCCUGAUACCCGUGGGGGGAGGGGAUGGUUUGGGUGGGGGAGGGGCUCCUGGGAUGGGGGAGGGGCUCCUGAGAUGGGGGAGGGGCCUGAAGGGGGAGGGGUCCCUGGGGGGACUUUGGCGUUUUGGGGGUCCCUGAUGCCAUUUUUGGGGUUCUUGGGGUGGUAUUUGGAGGUUUUUGGGCUCCCUGACCCAUUUUUGGGGUGGUUUUCGGAGGUUUUUGUGUUCCCUGACCCAUUUUUGGGGGUCCCUGACCCAUUUUUGGGGCUCCCUGACCCAUUUUUGGGGUGGUUUUUGGGGGUUUUUGUGUUCCCUGACCCAUUUUCGGGGGUCCCUGACCCAUUCUUGGGGUGGUUUUGGGGGGUUUUGGGGCUCCCUGACCCAAUUUCGGGGUGGUUUCUGGGGGUUUUUGUGCUCCCCGACCCCUUUCCGGGGGUCCCUGACCCCUUUCUGGGGUGGUUUUUGGGGUGGUUUUUGGGGGUUUUUGGGCUCCCUGACCCAUUUUUGGGGUGGUUUAUGGAGCUUUUUGUGUUCCUGACCUGUUUCCGGGGUGGUUUUGGGGGUUUUUGUGCUCCCUGACCCCUUUCCGGGGGUCCCUGACCCAAUUUCGGGGUGGUUUUUGGGGGUUUUUGGGGGUUUUUGUGCUCCCCGACCCCUUUCCGGGGCUCCCUGACCCCUUUCCGGGGGUCCCUGACCCAAUUUCGGGGUGGUUUUUGGGGGUUUUAGGGUGGUUUUUCGGGGUUUUUGUGCUCCCCGACCCCUUUCCGGGGGUCCCUGACCCCUUUCCGGGGGUCCCUGACCCCUUUCCGGGGUGGUUUUUGGGGGUUUUGGGGUGGUUUUUGGGGGUUUUUGGGCUCCCUGACCCAUUUUCGGGGUGGUUUUGGGGGGUUUUUGUGCUCCCCGACCCCUUUCCGGGGGUCCCUGACCCCUUUCCGGGGGUCCCCCACCCCUUUUCGGGGGCUCCAGGCGCUGCGGGUGCUGCCCACCCCCGGGCACACCCCCGGCUGCGUCACCUUCGUGCUGGACGACGCCUCCAUGGCCUUCACGGGGGACGCGCUGCUGGUGCGGGGCUGCGGCAGGACCGACUUCCAGCAGGGUAACUGGGAGCACUGGGAGCACUGGGAGCGCUGGGACGGGUGGCUGGGGGCACUGGUUUGUACUGGGAAAGGGUUCCAGGGGGUCUGGGGUUACUGGGAGGGGCUGGGAAAGGGUUAAAGGGGGUUUGGGGUUACUGGGAUGGACUGGGAAAGGGUUAAAGGGGGGUUUGGGGUUACUGGUUUGUACUGGGAGGGGCUGGGAAAGGGUUAAAGAGGGUUUGGGGUUACUGGGAUGGACUGGGAGGGGUGGGAAUGAACUCAGCAUAAACUGGGAUGGACUGGGAUAUACUGGGAGUGAACUGGGAUGAACUGGGAGUGAACUGAGCUGAACUGGGAUGAACUGGGGUAAACUGGGACGGCACUGCGACGAACUGGGAGGGCACUGGGAUAUACUGGGAUGUAGUGGGAGUGAACUGGGCUGAAGUGGGAGUGAACUGGGAUGUACUGGGGUAAACUGCGAGGGCACUGGGCUGUACUGGGAU
ensembl:lncRNA